rnacentral:rRNA from 1 species
UACGUAGGGGGCAAGCGUUAUCCGGAUUUACUGGGUGUAAAGGGAGCGUAGACGGCGAUGCAAGUCUGAAGUGAAAGGCGGGGGCCCAACCCCCGGACUGCUUUGGAAACUGUAUGGCUGGAGUGCAGGAGAGGUAAGUGGAAUUCCUAGUGUAGCGGUGAAAUGCAUAGAUAUUAGGAGGAACACCAGUGGCGAAGGCGGCUUACUGGACUGUAACUGACACUGAGGCUCGAAAGCGUGGGGAGCAAACAGG